UACGUAGGUGGCAAGCGUUGUCCGGAUUUACUGGGCGUAAAGAGCGCGCAGGCGGUCGUUCAAGUCGCGUGUGAAAGCCCCGGCUCAACUGGGGAGGGUCACGCGAUACUGAUCGACUCGAAGGCAGGAGAGGGUAGUGGGAAUUCCCGGUGUAGUGGUGAAAUGCGUAGAUAUCGGGAGGAACACCAGUGGCGAAGGCGACUACCUGGCCUGUUCUUGACGCUGAGGCGCGAAAGCUAGGGGAGCAAACGGG
rnacentral:rRNA from 1 species